rnacentral:rRNA from 1 species
GACGAACGCUGGCGGCGUGCUUAACACAUGCAAGUCGAACGGAAAGGCCUGCUUUCCCUUGUGGAUUUCGGGUACUCGAGUGGCGAACGGGUGAGUAACACGUGAGGGAUCUGCCCCCAACUUGGGGAUAAGCCUGGGAAACUGGGUCUAAUUCCCGAUAGGACUGCAGGGUGGUGCCUGUGGUGGAAAACGAUUUUCUAGUGGUUGGGGAUGAGCUCGCGGCCUAUCAGCUUGUUGGUGGGGUAAUGGCCUACCAAGGCGGCGACGGGUAGCCGGCCUGAGAGGGUGGACGGCCACAUUGGGACUGAGAUACGGCCCAGACUCCUACGGGAGGCAGCAGUGGGGAAUAUUGCACAAUGGGCGGAAGCCUGAUGCAGCGACGCCGCGUGGGGGAUGACGGCCUUCGGGUUGUAAACUCCUUUCGACCGCGAGGAAGCCACCUGGUUGGAAGGGUGGUGACGGUAGUGGUAGAAGAAGCACCGGCUAACUACGUG